CACGUAGGGCGCAAGCGUUGUCCGGAAUUAUUGGGCGUAAAGGGCUCGUAGGCGGUUUGUCGCGUCAGGAGUGAAAACUCGGGGCUUAACCCCGAGCCUGCUUCUGAUACGGGCAGACUAGAGGUAUGCAGGGGAGAACGGAAUUCCUGGUGUAGCGGUGAAAUGCGCAGAUAUCAGGAGGAACACCGGUGGCGAAGGCGGUUCUCUGGGCAUUACCUGACGCUGAGGAGCGAAAGUGUGGGGAGCGAACAGG
rnacentral:rRNA from 1 species